rnacentral:rRNA from 1 species
AAUGAACGUUGGCGGCAUGGAUUAGGCAUGCAAGUCGAGCGAGAAGGGUUUUGAAGCUUGCUUUAGAACCCGGAAAGCGGCGAAAGGGAGAGUAACGAGUAGUUAUCUACCCCAAGGCCUGGAAUAGCUGCGGGAAACUGCAGGUAAUGCCGGAUAAUAUCCCCGGAUCAAAGGUGUGAUUCCGCCUUGGGAGGAGACUGCUUUGUACUAGCUUGUUGGUAGGGUAAUGGCCUACCAAGGCUACGAUGCAUAGCGGGCGUGAGAGCGUGGCCCGUCUCACUGGGACUGAAACACUGCCCAGACACCUACGGGUGGCUGCAGUCGAGAAUCUUCGGCAAUGGGCGAAAGCCUGACCGAGCGAUGCCGCGUGCGGGAUGAAGGCCCUCGGGUUGUAAACCGCUGUCGUAGAGGAGAAAGGUCUCGUGAAGAGCGAGAUUUGAUCUAUUCUAGGAGGAAGUCGGGGCUAAGUUCGUGCCAGCCGCCGCCGUAA